AUUGAACGCUAGCGGGAUGCUUUACACAUGCAAGUCGAACGAGUGGCGGACGGGUGAGUCAUAUAUCGGAACGUGCCCCGUAGCGGGGGAUCACUACUCGAAAGAGUGGCCAAUACAGCAUACUAUUGGAGCCGCCGAUACGGGAUUAGCUAGGUGGGGGGUUAAAGGCUCACCAAGGCAACGAUCCGUAGCUGGUUUGAGAGGAGGACCAGCCACACUGGGACUGAGAAACGGCCCAGACUCCUACGGGAGGCAGCAGUGGGGAAUUUUGGACAAUGGGGGAAAGCCUGAUGCAGCCAUCCCGCGUGUAUGAGAAGGCCUUCGGGUUGUAAAGUACUUUUGGCAGGGAAGCGGUAUCUGCAGAAUAAGCACCGGCUAACUACGUGCCAGCAGCCGCGGUAAUUC
rnacentral:rRNA from 1 species